AUGCCCAGGCUGUCGUCGGGCGCUUCUCCUUUGUUUUUUCUGCGCGAUCCUUUUUCUCCGUACCAAUCUGGCACCGGGCGCUCCUUGGAGCGCUACAAAUCUGCAACGGCUCAACGACCUCAGCUGGUCUUUGCUGAACGGAGCCAGCUAUACGCAACUAACUUACCUGAUUUUCUUUUGCAGCUACACAAAAAAUAUAUUGCUUGGUUCAAAAAAAUAUAUGUUUUCUUUCUCUUCACACAAAAAAUAAUCUACAAUAAAAUAUGGAGGUCGUUUAUAUCUAUAAUAAUUCUCCAUGAGACCUGA
rnacentral:rRNA from 1 species